rnacentral:misc_RNA from 1 species
GAUGAAGAACGUAGCGAAAUGCGAUAAGUAAUGCGAAUUGCAGAAUCCGUGAGUCAUCGAAUCUUUGAACGCACAUUGCGCCCGCUAGUAUUCUAGCGGGCAUGCCUGUUCGAGCGUCAUUUCAACCAUCAAGCCCCAGGCUUGUGUUGGAGCCCUGCGGCCGUCCGCAGCCUCCUAAAAUCAGUGGCGGGCUCGCUAUCACACCGAGUGCAGUAGUUUACUCUUCGCUCAGGACGUGUAGCGGGUUCCGGCCGUGAAACCCCCCAAUUUUCAAGGUUGACCUCGGAUCAGGUAGGAAUACCCGCUGAACUUAAGCAUAUCAAUAAGCGGAGGA